AUACAACAGCCUCCCAACAGUCCUGAUUUGAAUGUGCUUGACCUUGGGUUUUUCAACUCGCUCCAAUCCCUGACAGAUUGUCUGAGUCCUAAAACACUACAAGACCUUAUUAAGGGUGUUUUGGAGGAAUUUGAAGGCUAUGAUGUUUACAAGCUCAACAGAAUUUUCCUAAGUCUGCAGACGUGCAUGAUUGAGAUCCUAAACCAUGCAGGGGGCAAUGGGUAUAAAAUACCCCAUGUAAACAAGGAAAGGCUUGAGGGGAUUGGGCAACUACCUCCAAGAUUAUCAUGCCCUCUAGAGGUUUAUGCAAAUGCAUUAUACAACUUAGAGCUAAUGGAGAGGGUUCAGUAA
rnacentral:rRNA from 1 species